rnacentral:rRNA from 1 species
AACGCUAGCUACAGGCUUAACACAUGCAAGUCGAGGGGAAACGACNUCGAAAGCUUGCUUUUGAUGGGCGUCGACCGGCGCACGGGUGAGUAACGCGUAUGCAACUUACCUAUCAGAGGAGAAUAGCUCAUCGAAAGAUGAAUUAAUGCUCCAUAAAACAGGGGUCCCGCAUGGGAAUAUUUGUUAAAGAUUCAUCGCUGAUAGAUAGGCAUGCGUUCCAUUAGGCAGUUGGCGGGGUAACGGCCCACCAAACCGACGAUGGAUAGGGGUUCUGAGAGGAAGGUCCCCCACAUUGGUACUGAGACACGGACCAAACUCCUACGGGAGGCAGCAGUGAGGAAUAUUGGUCAAUGGCCGAGAGGCUGAACCAGCCAAGUCGCGUGAAGGAAGAAGGAUCUAUGGUUUGUAAACUUCUUUUAUACGGGAAUAAAGUGAGUCACGUGUGGCUUUUUGUAUGUACCGUAUGAAUAAGCAUCGGCUAACUCCGUGCCAGCAGCCGCGGUAAUACGGAGGAUGCGAGCGUUAUCCGGAUUUAUUGGGUUUAAAGGGUGCGUAGGUGGUCUUUUAAGUCAGCGGUGAAAGUUUGUGGCUCAACCAUAAAAUUGCCAUUGAAACUGGGAGACUUGAGUAUGUUUGAGGUAGGCGGAAUGCGUGGUGUAGCGGUGAAAUGCAUAGAUAUCACGAAGAACUCCGAUUG